GACGAACGCUGGCGGCGUGCUUAACACAUGCAAGUCGAACGGAAAGGCCCUGCUUUUGUGGGGUGCUCGAGUGGCGAACGGGUGAGUAACACGUGAGUAACCUGCCCUUGACUUUGGGAUAACUUCAGGAAACUGGGGCUAAUACCGGAUAUGAGCUCCUGCUGCAUGGUGGGGGUUGGAAAGUUUCGGCGGUUGGGGAUGGACUCGCGGCUUAUCAGCUUGUUGGUGGGGUAGUGGCUUACCAAGGCUUUGACGGGUAGCCGGCCUGGGAGGGUGACCGGCGACAUUGGGACUGAGAUAGGGCCCAGAAUCCUACGGGAGGCAGCAGUGGGGAGUAUUGCACAAUGGGCGGAAGCCUGAUGCAGCAACGCCGCGUGCGGGAUGACGGCCUUCGGGUUGUAAACCGCUUUCGCCUGUGACGAAGCGUGAGUGACGGUAAUGGGUAAAGAAGCACCGGCUAACUACGUG
rnacentral:rRNA from 1 species